rnacentral:rRNA from 1 species
UACGAAGGGUGCAAGCGUUACUCGGAAUUACUGGGCGUAAAGCGUGCGUAGGUGGUGGUUUAAGUCUGUUGUGAAAGCCCUGGGCUCAACCUGGGAAUUGCAGUGGAUACUGGGUCACUAGAGUGUGGUAGAGGGUAGCGGAAUUCCCGGUGUAGCAGUGAAAUGCGUAGAGAUCGGGAGGAACAUCCGUGGCGAAGGCGGCUACCUGGACCAACACUGACACUGAGGCACGAAAGCGUGGGGAG